GCUCCUGUAUCCUAGUGGUUAAAGCGUCCGCCUCAGAUGUGAAAGGUCGUGGGUUCGAACCCCGGCUGAGACA